rnacentral:rRNA from 1 species
AGUGAACGCUGGCGGUAGGCCUAACACAUGCAAGUCGAACGGCAGCACAGUAAGAGCUUGCUCUUACGGGUGGCGAGUGGCGGACGGGUGAGGAAUACAUCGGAAUCUACUUUUUCGUGGGGGAUAACGUAGGGAAACUUCCGCUAAUACCGCAUACGACCUACGGUUGAAAGCAGGGGAUCUUGGGACCUUGCGCGAUUGAAUGAGCCGAUGUCGGAUUAGCUAGUUGGCGGGGUAAAGGCCCACCAAGGCGACGAUCCGUAGCUGGUCUGAGAGGAUGAUCAGCCACACUGGAACUGAGACACGGUCCAGACUCCUACGGGAGGCAGCAGUGGGGAAUAUUGGACAAUGGGCGCAAGCCUGAUCCAGCCAUACCGCGUGGGUGAAGAAGGCCUUCGGGUUGUAAAGCCCUUUUGUUGGGAAAGAAAAGCAGCAGGUUAAUACCCCGCUGUUCUGACGGUACCCAAAGAAUAAGCACCGGCUAACUUCGUG